GACGAACGCUGGCGGCGUGCUUAACACAUGCAAGUCGAACGGAGAGGCCUUUUCGGAGGUACUCGAGUGGCGAACGGGUGAGUAACACGUGGGUGAUCUGCCCUGCACUCUGGGAUAAGCCUGGGAAACUGGGUCCAAUACCGGAUAGGACCGCACUUUAGUGUGUGUGGUGGAAAGUUUUUUCGGUGUAGGAUGAGCCCGCGGCCUAUCAGCUUGUUGGUGGGGUAAUGGCCUACCAAGGCGGCGACGGGUAGCCGGACUGAGAGGUUGGUCGGCCACAUUGGGACUGAGAUACGGCCCAGACUCCUACGGGAGGCAGCAGUGGGGAAUAUUGCACAAUGGGCGCAAGCCUGAUGCAGCGACGCCGCGUGGGGGAUGACGGCCUUCGGGUUGUAAACUCCUUUCGCCAGGGACGAAGCGUUUUGUGACGGUACCUGGAGAAGAAGCACCGGCUAACUACGUG
rnacentral:rRNA from 1 species